rnacentral:rRNA from 1 species
UACGAAGGGGGCUAGCGUUGCUUGGAAUCACUGGGCGUAAAGGGUGCGUAGGCGGGUCUUUAAGUCAGGGGUGAAAUCCUGGAGCUCAACUCCAGAACUGCCUUUGAUACUGAAGAUCUUGAGUUCGGGAGAGGUGAGUGGAACUGCGAGUGUAGAGGUGAAAUUCGUAGAUAUUCGCAAGAACACCAGUGGCGAAGGCGGCUCACUGGCCCGAUACUGACGCUGAGGCACGAAAGCGUGGGGAGCAAACAGG